GUGUGACAAAAAGCUUUGUGUGGCACGUAAGCACAAGUGCAUUAGUCCUUAAAACAUGUCUCUUCAAUACUAUCUGAGACUGGCUUUGGUUGGCUUGACUCUUUCUGUUGUGGGAUGUUUGCCUGAAGUGUCAAUAGAUGAAAACAGUGGCAUCCAGAUGUCCGCGCUACUCAAACGGUCAAAACAAAACACAGACUUGACCCCAUGAAUGCAGUUCGCAAAGAACACCAUGUUAUUUUCAGAACGUGAUAAAAAUAUUAAUCUACCAGACCCAACAAAUCAUUAAUUGAGCAUAACACCCAAAAUAGGACACACCUGAAUUCCUUCAAAGUACUGUACAAUUGUUAUCCAUUAAACAUUAUUCUGUGCCAAGUCUUGUGCCAGGUAACACAAUGAAGAGUCACGUCCACAGCGUUAAUCCAUCUGUGUCUGGCACUCAGGGCGCAUCUAAAUAUUCAGACAUCUCUACAAAAAUCAGAAAUGCACUCUGGCCAAAAGCCCUUCUUAAAGUCUUCAUCUAAUGUGCAAUAUGCCCCU